rnacentral:rRNA from 1 species
UGGAGCGACGCCGCGUGGAGGAUGAAGGCCUUUUGGUCGUAAACUCCUGUCAUGCGAGAACAAGAAAGUGAUAGUAUCGCAAGAGGAAGAGACGGCUAACUCUGUGCCAGCAGCCGCGGUAAUACAGAGGUCUCAAGCGUUGUUCGGAUUCAUUGGGCGUAAAGGGUGCGUAGGUGGCUUGGUAAGUUGAAGGUGAAAUCUCGGAGCUCAACUCCGAAACUGCCUUCAAUACUGCCGAGCUCGAGGACUGUAGAGGAGAAUGGAAUUCACGGUGUAGCAGUGAAAUGCGUAGAUAUCGUGAGGAAGACCAGUGGCGAAGGCGAUUCUCUGGGCAGUUCCUGACACUGAGGCACGAAGGCCAGGGGAGCAAACGGGAUUAGAUACCCCGGUAGUCCUGGCAGUAAACGGUGCACGUUUGGUGUGGGAGGAUUCGACCCCUUCCGUGCCGGAGCUAACGCGUUAAACGUGCCGCCUGGGAAGUACGGUCGCAAGAUUAAAACUCAAAGAAAUUGACGGGGGCCCGCACAAGCGGUGGAGUAUGUGGCUUAAUUCGAUGCAACGCGAAGAACCUUACCUGGCCUUGACAUGUAUCGUGAAAAUCGGUGAAAGCCGGUGACUGCCCGCAAGGGUGA